rnacentral:rRNA from 1 species
UUACACCCACCCGUGUCUACAUACUAUUGUUGCUUUGGCGGGCCGUGGCCUCCACUGCGGGCUCUGCUCGUGUGUGCCCGCCAGAGAACCAAACUCUGAAUGUUAGUGAUGUCUGAGUACUAUCUAAUAGUUAAAACUUUCAACAACGGAUCUCUUGGUUCUGGCAUCGAUGAAGAACGCAGCGAAAUGCGAUAAGUAAUGUGAAUUGCAGAAUUCAGUGAAUCAUCGAAUCUUUGAACGCACAUUGCGCCCUGUGGUAUUCCGCAGGGCAUGCCUGUUCGAGCGUCAUUUAACCACUCACGCCUAGCGUGGUAUUGGGGCACGCGGUCUCCGCGGCCCUCAAAAUUAGUGGCGGCGCCGGUGGGCUCUAAGCGUAGUACAUACUCCCGCUAUAGAGUUCCCCCGGUGGCUCGCCAGAACCCCCAAUUUUUACAGGUUGACCUCGGAUCAGGUAGGGAUACCCGCUGAACUUAAGCAUAUCAAUAAGCGG